ACGUAGGGUGCGAGCGUUAAUCGGAAUUACUGGGCGUAAAGCGUACGCAGGCGGCUGGGUAAGACAGGUGUGAAAUCCCCGGGCUUAACCUGGGAAUGGCGCUUGUGACUGGCGAGCUGGAGUACGGCAGAGGGGGGUGGAAUUCCAGGUGUAGCGGUGAAAUGCGUAGAGAUGUGGAGGAACACCGACGGCGAAGGCAGCCCCCUGGGCCGAUACAGACGUUGAUGCACGAAAGCGUGGGGAGCAAACAG
rnacentral:rRNA from 1 species